rnacentral:rRNA from 1 species
CCUACGGGAGGCUGCAGUGAGGAAUAUUGGUCAAUGGACGAGAGUCUGAACCAGCCAAGUAGCGUGAAGGAUGACUGCCCUAUGGGUUGUAAACUUCUUUUAUAUGGGAAUAAAAUGUUCCACGUGUGGGAUUUUGUAUGUACCAUAUGAAUAAAGAUCGGCUAACUCCGUGCCAGCAGCCGCGGUAAUACGGAGGAUCCGAGCGUUAUCCGGAUUUAUUGGGUUUAAAGGGAGCGUAGGUGGAUUGUUAAGUCAGUUGUGAAAGUUUGCGGCUCAACCGUAAAAUUGCAGUUGAAACUGGCAGUCUUGAGUACAGUAGAGGUGGGCGGAAUUCGUGGUGUAGCGGUGAAAUGCUUAGAUAUCACGAAGAACUCUGAUUGCGAAGGCAGUUCACUGGACUGCAACUGACACUGAGGCUCGAAAGUGUGGGUAUCAAACAGGAUUAGAUACCCGUGUAGUC